UACGUAGGGGGCAAGCGUUGUCCGGAAUCAUUGGGCGUAAAGAGCGCGUAGGCGGCCCUGUAAGUCCGCUGUGAAAGUCAAGGGCUCAACCCUUGAAUGCCGGUGGAUACUGCAGGGCUAGAGUCCGGAAGAGGCGAGUGGAAUUCCUGGUGUAGCGGUGAAAUGCGCAGAUAUCAGGAAGAACAGCCCGUGGCUAAGGCGGCUCUCUAGUACGGUACUGACGCUGAGACGCGAAAGCGUGGGGAGCGAACAGG
rnacentral:rRNA from 1 species